UACAGAGGGUGCAAGCGUUGUUCGGAAUUAUUGGGCGUAAAGGGCGCGUAGGCGGUGCGGUAAGUCUGUAGUGAAAUCUCUGGGCUCAACUCAGAGUCUGCUGCAGAAACUGCCGUGCUUGAGUGUGGGAGAGGUGAGUGGAAUUCCCGGUGUAGCGGUGAAAUGCGUAGAUAUCAGGAGGAACACCGGUGGCGAAAGCGGCUCCCUGGCCCGAUACUGACGCUCAUGUACGAAAGCGUGGGGAGCAAACAGG
rnacentral:rRNA from 1 species